UACGGGGGGGGGCGAGCGUUGUCCGGAUUUAUUGGGCGUAAAGAGCGUGUAGGCGGCCAGGUAGGUCCGUUGUGAAAACUCGAGGCUCAACCUCGAGACGUCGAUGGAAACCAUCUGGCUAGAGUCCGGAAGAGGUGAGUGGAACUGCGAGUGUAGAGAUGAAAUUCGUAGAUAUUCGCAAGAACACCAGUGGCGAAGGCGGCUCACUGGCCCCGAUACUGAGCG
rnacentral:rRNA from 1 species